AGCAGCCGCGGUAAUUCCAGCUCCAAUAGCGUAUAUUAAAGUUGUUGCAGUUAAAAGCUCGUAGUUGAAUUUCGGGAUUAAUAUGUUGGUCGUGCCUUGGUACGUACUGGCAUUAUUGAUUCCUACCUUCUGAAGAACCUCGAUGUCAUUAAUUUGGUGUCUUGGGGAAUCAGGACCGUUACUUUGAAAAAAUUAGAGUGUUUAAAGCAGGCUCGCGCUUGAAUACAUUAGCAUGGAAUAGUGAAAUAGGACGUUUGAUUCUAUUUUGUUGGUUUCUAGGAUCGACGUAAUGAUUAAUAGGGAUAGUUGGGGGCAUUAGUAUUCAAUUGUCAGAGGUGAAAUUCUUGGAUUUAUUGAAGACUGACUACUGCGAAAGCAUUUGCCAAGGAUGUUUUCAUUAAUCAAGAACGAAAGUUAGGGAUCGAAGACGAUCAGAUACCGUCGUAGUCUUAACCAUAAACUAUGCCGACUAGGGAUCGGAUGAUGUAAUUUUUUAAUGUACUCAUUCGGCGCCUUAACC
rnacentral:misc_RNA from 1 species